rnacentral:rRNA from 1 species
AUUGAACGCUGGCGGCAUGCCUUACACAUGCAAGUCGAACGGUAACGCGGGGCAACCUGGCGACGAGUGGCGAACGGGUGAGUAAUGCAUCGGAACGUGCCCAGUAGUGGGGGAUAGCCCGGCGAAAGCCGGAUUAAUACCGCAUACGACCUACGGGUGAAAGGGGGGGAUCGCAAGACCUCUCGCUAUUGGAGCGGCCGAUGUCAGAUUAGGUAGUUGGUGGGGUAAAGGCCUACCAAGCCGACGAUCUGUAGCUGGUCUGAGAGGACGACCAGCCACACUGGGACUGAGACACGGCCCAGACUCCUACGGGAGGCAGCAGUGGGGAAUUUUGGACAAUGGGCGCAAGCCUGAUCCAGCCAUGCCGCGUGCGGGAAGAGGGCCUUCGGGUUGUAAACCGCUUUUGUCAGGGAAGAAAUCUUUUGAGUUAAUACCUCGGAAGGAUGACGGUACCUGAAGAAUAAGCACCGGCUAACUACGUGCCAGCCGCCGCCGUAAUAC